rnacentral:rRNA from 1 species
GACGAACGCUGGCGGCGUGCUUAACACAUGCAAGUCGAACGGAAAGGCCCUGCUUUUGUGGGGUGCUCGAGUGGCGAACGGGUGAGUAACACGUGAGUAACCUUCCCUUUACUUUGGGAUAACUUCAGGAAACUGGGGCUAAUACCGGAUAGGUGCUCCUGCUGCAUGGUUGGGGUUGGAAAGUUUCGGCGGUUGGGGAUGGACUCGCGGCUUAUCAGCUUGUUGGUGGGGUAGUGGCUUACCAAGGCUUUGACGGGUAGCCGGCCUGAGAGGGUGACCGGCCACAUUGGGACUGAGAUACGGCCCAGACUCCUACGGGAGGCAGCAGUGGGGAAUAUUGCACAAUGGGCGGAAGCCUGAUGCAGAAACGCCGCGUGCGGGAUGACGGCCUUCGGGUUGUAAACCGAUUUCGACUGUGACGAAGCGUGAGUGACGGUAAUGGGUAAAGAAGCACCGGCUAACUACGUG